AUGUGUCCGGGUGUCCGAGGAUGUGGUGUGAUUUACCGGGAGCAAGGGAUGUGCCCGAGUUCCCGUGUCCCUCCUGGUGUGAUUUUCUUGGAGCAGGGGAUGUGCCCGAGUUCCCGUGCCCCUUUUGGUGUGAUUUACCCGGAGCAGGGGAUGUGCCCGAGUUCCCGUGCCCCUUUUGGUGUGAUUUACCCGGAGCAGGGGAUGUGCCCGAGUUCCCGUGCCCCUUUUGGUGUGAUUUACCCGGAGCAGGGGAUGUGCCCGAGUUCCCGUGCCCCUUUUGGUGUGAUUUACCCGGAGCAGGGGAUGUGCCCGAGUUCCCGUGCCCCUUUUGGUGUGAUUUACCCGGAGCAGGGGAUGUGCCCGAGUUCCCGUGCCCCUUUUGGUGUGAUUUACCCGGAGCAGGGGAUGUGCCCGAGUUCCCGUGCCCCUUUUGGUGUGAUUUACCCGGAGCAGGGGAUGUGCCCGAGUUCCCGUGCCCCUUUUGGUGUGAUUUACCGGGAGCAGAAGAUGUGCCCCAGUUCCCGUGCCCCUUUUGGUGUGAUUUACCGGGAGCAGAGGAUGUGCCCGAGUUCCCGUGCCCCCUUUUGGUGUGAUUUACAGGAGCAGGGGAUGUGCCCGAGUUCCCGUGCCCCUUUUGGUGUGAUUUACCAGGAGCAGAGGAUGUGCCCGAGUUCCCGUGCCCCUCCUGGGGGUUUAUUUCUCCUGGAGCUGUGUCUGCCUGUACACGCACACACACCCAGCAUUACACGUGCGAGCAGAGCUGAUCCUCCCUGCCAGCAGCACAGGGCUCCUGCCCGUUUAUCUGAGCUCCCCAAAACGUGUUCCUGUCCCUAGAGAAUCUUUAGGGUCCCUUCCAGCCCGGACCAUGCAGGGACUCUGCAUUUCUCGGAUUUUGCCAAGCUUUGUCCUCGCAGCUCUUUCCUCGCAGUGUUUGAUUUGUAACGAGACUGGUUUUAGUUUAGCAGGCUGGGGUUGGGGGGAGAUUUGGUGCUGGCUGUGGCUGAGUUUCCCUCUCACUUGUAACCUUCUCCCAGAGCUGUUUUCUCUCUGGAAGGUGAGGCUGCCUGCCCAGCAUCCUGUAGGGCUGGGUGAAGUUGCCCACCAGAACUGGGCUGUACCAUCAGUUCUUGGUUACAGGCCACCUGUGUUUGCUCUGCUGGGCUGGUGAGAGUGGCUGUGGUCACAGAGCCAUCAGAGAACUGUAGAAUGGUUGGAAAUAAAUAUCUGAUUCCAAAGCCCUGUCGACAGGACAGCUUUCAGAUGAUGCUCAGAGCAUCAUCCAGCCCGGUCUUAAAGCAGAGUCAGAACAACCAAGCUGAUUCUCAAAGAGUGGAAGUUAAUCCAGAUGUGUCAGUGCAUCACUUGUCUCCCUUUUCUUCUCCCUUUUCUUCUCCCCUUUCUUCUCCCCUUGUCCCACAACAAAUUAAACAAAUGGGUUUAAUUGAAAUUUUUUUUUGGCUGCCACCAUGAGCCACCCACCCAUCUGCAUUGCCAAGGACUUUCUUAGAGGAUGAGCAGGUUGGGAAAAAGGAUUAAAUUGCUUUAAAAAAUGACCAGGCAAUCAGUUCUUGGAAUUCUACAGAGCUUGCUUUAGGGAAGAUCCAAAAUAGCCCAUGUGUCCAGGGCUGGUGCUGGGGAAAGGAGAAGGGGGCAGCGUUCUCAUCAGCUGCUGGAGCUGCUCCAAUUCUUUCUUCCACUGAACCCCUUGGCAAAAUUCCCAUUUCUUUAAAGAUUGUUGGCACGAGGAGCUCCUCUGGGGCCGGAUCCUGCAGAGGGUGGGGUCACACAGCUGCUGAAGUCCACCCUGCCAGGGGUUGCCAUCAAUAAUGACAAACCCCUAAAGCUGUGGGGCAGCACAAGGCACAGGCUGGGUGCAAUCCUGUAACUGCUUCCUUUCCAACCCUUUUAUUACUCCGUUGUUGUUAAUGUUCCUGGGAUCUGGUUCACGCUGGUGGGUUAAAAAGAUUCACAUGCUCCUUAUCAGCACUGAUCUGCAAGGUGACUAACACUGAACUGCCUCAGCGCUGGAGAAAAUCCCUGUUUUUUUUUUCUCAGCUUAAACCUGGGAUUUGCUGCUUAUUUUUAAAGCAAAAGUAGCUCUGCAGUCAUGACCUGGCUUUGGGACCUGUGGUGGCCCAGCACAGCUUGGUUGGUUUGGGUUCCUUUUGUAUAAUUUAUUGUGAUCAAUUUUCUGGUACGUCCUUGGGGGAAAAAAAAAUUCUGAACAAGUGGCUGAUCAACAUUGGUACGUCCUUGGGGAAAAAAAAAAUUCUGAACAAGUGGCUGAUCAACAAGUUCAGCGCCAUAAAACUGUUGCAGCCAUGUGGUUUCUAAUUGCUGUUGUAAACUUUCACCUCUCAUCAUGCACGCUGUGCAGAAGAGGGAAUUGGGCAGAUCUCAUUUGCUGCAGUUCAUCAGGCCACGCUCACCAAAGUCCUGCCCUCCUGCCAGGGGCAGCUUUGAAAAGUUGGAAUAAAAGUGUUAACAGUGGUGGUGUGGACGUGCUGUAAAUGCACAUUCCCUUUUAGGUUCUUCCGUGUUGGUUUUAGGGGUGUAAUUAAGAUAAUUUGGCCUGAAGAGCUACAAAUUAGACACUUUCUUUUUUUCUCCAGUGUGUGUCUAGAACAUGAGAUGGGGAUAAUUUGAAGCAGUUGGUGGAUUCCACGUGCCUUCAGACUUCAAACUCCUUGAAUUAGCCAGAUCUGCCCAGCUGGUGCAAUUUGUGCUUUUCUUCAGAGCUUUGCUCUGUUCCAGCCUUGAAGUAGGUUUGUGAUGGAAAAGAAUGAAACAACUCAGAUCUGAUUCUUCAUCAGUCCGAGUGCAAGUGCUGGAAAUGUGAACAGUGUGGAAAAAAAAAAAUCAGUGAAAUCUGAGCUCACAGGACAAACACUUCAGCUGUGUCUGCGUCUCUUUCCUCCUGUCAUUGAUUGAGAAUCUGUGAAGGGGGAUAAAUAUAAUUUAAACAAAACAACCACUGGUUUUGGCCAAAGGACAAGGUGCUCACUGGAAUCCUCCAGCCCAGUUCCUGCAUCCAGCACAAAAACCCUUUAGCAAUAACAUGUGUUUAACAAAGGCCUUGCCACAAAUCCCGAGUGUGUGAUUUAUUCCAUUUAUGCUUGUAUAAAUGCAUGACUGACUUUAUUCAGGAGAACCAGUUGCCCAACCCUGUGUCUGGGUGGCUCUGAAAGCCUCUCUAUAAAGCUGAAAGUUUUCAGAGAGGACACAUGAUCAGCAGUAAUAAUAUUGUGACAGUUCUUACUUAGGGCAUAAGAGGGCAAAAUUGUAAAUUAGGGUGGGGGAAACAAUAUCUGAGGGGAAAAAAACGUGCUGGAGAAAAUAUUUAAAGCUGUUUCUGAAUAUUCUGAAAAUAUUUAAAGCUGAACCCUGAAAGCCUCUCUGCCUCUCUAUAAAGCUGAAAGUUUUCAGAGAGGACACAUGAUGAGCAAUAAUAAUAUUGUGGGAGCUCUUAUUUAGGGCAUAGAAAGGCAAAAUUGUAAAAUAGAGGAGGAAACGGUAUCUGAGGGGAAAAAACGUGCUGGAGACAAUAUUUAAAGCUAUUUCAAGCUGUGUUUUACUCCAGCUCACCAGCACAUCAGCAGGGGCAUUGACACCAUCAUUAUCACAUCCUCCCUGCAGCCCUGGGGCCUGUCUCCAGCAGGGAACUCCGGCCAGCCAGGAAUUGUGAUGGGCUGGAAAAGCAGAGUCCAGCAGGGUGUUAGUUAAAAAGAGGGAUUUUUUAGCAGACACACAGCUCAGCAGGCAGGUGGGACCAUGGACAGGGAAAGUGCCUGGGUUGUGAAUUUGGGGUGUGGAGGUGCAUUUACCUCGUUUUUACAGCACUUUAAAAAUAUUUUUGCUUUUUCCAGCCCCUCACUGUUGUAGCAGUGAGAGGUGUGAGAGCCAGAGGGCUGCUCCAGAUAGAAAUGCAAAUUCAGGUGGGUUGCAUUUUGUCCUGAGGGUGACAAAACAUUUUGUUCUUGUUCUCAGUGUUUUACAGUGACUCUGUUGAGUGGGGGUUUUGUCUCUUUGCACUUGGCUUUCCAAGGAAGGAGCAGGGGGAUGCAGAGCAGGGGGAUGCUCUGCUUAUUUGACAAGUGGAGAGUGAGUGAGUGAGUGGUGGCACCGUGUCAGGAGAGAGGUGUUUCAGCUGCCUGGGAAAUGGCAAACAUGCAGAGUUUCUAUUCAUUUGUGGCACCUUGUCAGGAGAGAGGUGUUUCAGCUGCCUGGGAAAUGGCAAACAUGCAGAGUUUCUAUUCAUUUUCAGGGGGGAAAAAGGAAAAAAAAAAUGGAGCUUUUUGCCUUUACCAGAUGGUCUCCAGCAGAAACAACUGGAGAGACUGGUGACUUGUCAAAAUCAGUCUUCCACAUGACAUGCUGAUAGUCUGGGAGGACUGGGAAUUUUCUGGUGUUUGGGCUAGAAUGUGAGCACAAAUCUCUUGGAACAGAGGGAAGAGGGGCAGGAGGGAGAUCUCCCUGUCCAGCAUCAAGUGUCCCAUUUAUUGCCAGCCUGGGCAAGGGCACCAGACACUGUGAGAUCAACAAGACCUGAGAUUUCAUGGUCUUUUUUUAAGUCAGACUUGAGUGUACUUGGAGGAGAUUUGUCACACUCUGAGUGGCUGAAAUUCAGGAAAGGGCUCAGCUUAUCUGUGCAGAAAGAAAACUCUAAGCCAGGCUUUGGUGGGGAGCAGGAUUCAGCUGGGUUUUAGACCUGCCCUCAGACCAGGUCAGCACCAGCGUGGCAGUGUCACUUCUCUGCUACAAAUGGGGUCCCUGCUGCAUCACCCUGCCUCAGGGGACAUGGAUUUGUGGUUUUCCAAUGCCUGGGAAAGGCUGUGGUAUUAAAUAUAGCCCCACUCCCUGCUCUCAUCAACUCUCGCUCUUCUGCAUUGGAAAGAAGAGGAAAGUCCCUUGUGAGAAUCAAAAUCUAGGAAAUGCAGCCUAGAAAAAAUCCCAGGUCAGGGGCCAAAACCACAGACAGAACGAGCUGGAGGUGAGUGGAGAGCCCAGAGCAGGAGUGGCAGGAGUUGUGCCCAGCAGGAUGGACAGACAGGCUGGCACAGGUUUGUCCUCCUGUCCUGCCCUGUGCAGCCAGGCUGGUUCCCCUCUGGAUGCUGAGUGCAGCUGCUCCUCUGCUCCUUCCCUUCCACGCUCCCAGAUGUUUUCCAGAAGUCAAA
ensembl:lncRNA